rnacentral:misc_RNA from 1 species
GAGAAGGUUACUAUGGAGGCCCUCAUUUUGUACCUUGCUCAAAGCAAAUAGUGGUUGAUCAGAAAAAUAUCAAACACAGGUUAAUGCUCGUUAUAAUAGCGAAAAGGAUUAAGGAUCUCCAUUCUCCAGAUACACAAGUCUGCUCCCUAACUUUAUUCUCUUUGGAUGCCUUAUAUCUACUUGAACCUUUCCUUUUGUUUCUGUAUCCUGUAAAG